AUCUCUGGAGAGAGGAAGCAGGGUAAACACUUCACUAUCUCUUUGUAUGCAAUCUCUGCAUUGAAAAUUUUUUCUCUUUUCAGAGGAAAAGUUAAAAUGACCAAUCUAUGUUUUUGAGCGAAGUCAUGAAGAUUAGGUACUAACUAAAUGUGGAACAUUACUUUAUAUUCUCUGUGUUUUCAUUUGUUUAAUUUCCUUAAGGAUGCUGCAUGUGAUGACUGAUGAUGGAUUUGGCAGCUGUAAGCUAAGGAGAUCCAUUCUUGGAUAUGGUCCUUGUGGAUAACCUUUUAUUCUCCUAGCAUGUGCUCCUAUAAAAGUGGUUAUUUAAUGCAUACGUAAAUUUAGUAUGUGCCCCAUUUGCAUGGAAAGUUUUCAUUUAACAUUUGCCUAUAUCAACUUUAAGGAUCUGUUACAGAUGAAUUGGUAAGAAAUAAAGAUCUUCGUAUGUGUUUUUGAAAUUUUGGUAUACUAUGAUGCGUCGAGUUCUUGCAUCUUUCAGUUUCUGUCCUUGCAACACUGUAUGUUUCUCCUUUUCCUCAUAUAAACAUUCAGCUGGUUUUACUAAGGGCUCUUUUGUUCAACUUGAAGAAUACCAAGUUGUUAUGUUGUUUGUAUGUAUAAGUCACAGUGAGGGCUGCUUAAUCAAUUCAUAGGUUGCAUGGGCGUUAUUUUUGUCAAAUAAUCUCCCUGUACAUUUGCCAAUCUCAUUAAAACCCAUUAAAAUAUUUUGGUUUGAGGUUUUUAGUUGUGGUGAUAAUGAACAUAAG
rnacentral:misc_RNA from 1 species